AAGUCGUAACAAGGUUUCCGCAUAAACCCCCCGUCCACUUUCACAUCGUACCAUCGACUCUUCAACUUCGGAGGGGAAACUCGGUGCCGUCUGGUUUGGGUUUCAGCGAGAGUUUUUUGCCCAUCGGAUGGCACCCUUCACUGCCUCAGUGUUUGACUGUCCGAGAUGAGUCGGGAAACCCGUUUUUCAGCGAAGGUGGAUCCAGUGGUUUCAACCAGCGAAUACACGAACAACUUUAACAAUGGAUAUCUUGGUUCUC
rnacentral:misc_RNA from 1 species